CGAUAUAUCACAUAUAAAGCUAAGCACACAUGUUUUAAUCAAAAUGGCUGCUAGAAGCUUCUAACCCCUCCUCCCCCCCCCUUCCCUUCUUAACACCAACUAACUACCUCGUGCAGCAAGAUGGCGCCGGGAAACCGUGGGAGACCCUCAUGGCCCCGGUGACAUCACCUACAGUAGGCAGAGCAUUAGAGCAACCACUUAACACCUAACCAAUUAUUGAUGUAUUAUUCCAUGUUAUCUCUGAC